rnacentral:rRNA from 1 species
GACGAACGCUGGCGGCGUGCUUAACACAUGCAAGUCGAACGGAAAGGCCCUGCUUUUGUGGGGUGCUCGAGUGGCGAACGGGUGAGUAACACGUGAGUAACCUGCCCUUGACUUUGGGAUAACUUCAGGAAACUGGGGCUAAUACCGGAUAGGAGCUCCUGCUGCAUGGUGGGGGUUGGAAAGUUUCGGCGGUUGGGGAUGGACUCGCGGCUUAUCAGCUUGUUGGUGGGGUAGUGGCUUACCAAGGCUUUGACGGGUAGCCGGCCUGAGAGGGUGACCGGCCACAUUGGGACUGAGAUACGGCCCAGACUCCUACGGGAGGCAGCAGUGGGGAAUAUUGCACAAUGGGCGGAAGCCUGAUGCAGAAACGCCGCGUGCGGGAUGACGGCCUUCGGGUUGUAAACCGCUUUCGCCUGUGACGAAGCGUGAGUGACGGUAAUGGGUAAAGAAGCACCGGCUAGCUACGUG